GGGGUGCAGCAGGCGCGAAACCUUCACAAUGCGCGAAAGCGUGAUGAGGGAACUCCGAGUGUUACAGACUUAGUCUGUAUCUUUUGCCAAGUGUAAAUAGCUUGGCGAAUAAGUGCCGGGUAAUAUCCCGUGCCAGCCGCCGCGGUAAUACGGGAGGCACAAGUGAUUUCCGUGUAUAUUGGGCUUAAAGCGUCCGUAGCUGGUCUAAAAAGUCUUUAGUGAAAUCUCACAGCUUAACUGUGAGAAGUGCUAAGGAAACUCUUAGACUUGGAGNCGGGAGAGGUAAGGGGUACUUCUAGGGUAGCGGUAGAAUGUGUUGAUCCUGGAAGGACCACCGGUAGCGAAGGCGCCUUACUAGAACGCGCUCGACAGUGAGGGACGAAGGCUAGGGGAGCAACCUGGAUUAGAUACCCAGUUAGUCCUAGCAGUAAAUGAUGCAAACCUAGGUGUCA
rnacentral:rRNA from 1 species